GAUGAACGCUGGCGGCGUGCCUAACACAUGCAAGUCGAGCGAUCUUCUUCGGAAGAGAGCGGCGGACGGGUGAGUAACGCGUGGGUAACCUGCCCUGUACACACGGAUAACAUACCGAAAGGUAUGCUAAUACGGGAUAAUAUGCUUUUAUCGCAUGGUAGAAGUAUCAAAGUUCCGGCGGUACAGGAUGGACCCGCGUCUGAUUAGCUAGUUGGUAAGGUAACGGCUUACCAAGGCGACGAUCAGUAGCCGACCUGAGAGGGUGAUCGGCCACAUUGGAACUGAGACACGGUCCAAACUCCUACGGGAGGCAGCAGUGGGGAAUAUUGCACAAUGGGCGGAAGCCUGAUGCAGCAACGCCGCGUGAGCGAUGAAGGCC
rnacentral:rRNA from 1 species